rnacentral:rRNA from 1 species
UAAUUGAAGAGUUUGAUCAUGGCUCAGAUUGAACGCUGGCGGCAGGCCUAACACAUGCAAGUCGAGCGGCAGCGACAACAUUGAACCUUCGGGGGAUUUGUUGGGCGGCGAGCGGCGGACGGGUGAGUAAUGCCUGGGAAAUUGCCCUGAUGUGGGGGAUAACCAUUGGAAACGAUGGCUAAUACCGCAUGAUAGCUUCGGCUCAAAGAGGGGGACCUUCGGGCCUCUCGCGUCAGGAUAUGCCCAGGUGGGAUUAGCUAGUUGGUGAGGUAAGGGCUCACCAAGGCGACGAUCCCUAGCUGGUCUGAGAGGAUGAUCAGCCACACUGGAACUGAGACACGGUCCAGACUCCUACGGGAGGCAGCAGUGGGGAAUAUUGCACAAUGGGCGCAAGCCUGAUGCAGCCAUGCCGCGUGUAUGAAGAAGGCCUUCGGGUUGUAAAG